rnacentral:rRNA from 1 species
UACGUAGGGAGCAAGCGUUGUCCGGAAUCAUUGGGCGUAAAGCGCGCGUAGGUGGCCCCAUAAGUCCGCUGUGAAAGUCAAAGGCUCAACCUUUGAAAGCCGGUGGAUACUGUGGGACUAGAGUACGGAAGAGGCGAGUGGAAUUCCUGGUGUAGCGGUGGAAUGCGCAGAUAUCAGGAGGAACACCAAUAGCGAAGGCAGCUCGCUGGGACGUUACUGUCACUGAGGCGCGAAAGCGUGGGGAGCGAACAGG